rnacentral:rRNA from 1 species
CCUACGGGAGGCAGCAGUGGGGAAUAUUGCACAAUGGGGGAAACCCUGAUGCAGCGACGCCGCGUGAGUGAAGAAGUAAUUCGUUAUGUAAAGCUCUAUCAGCAGGGAAGAAAAUGACGGUACCUGAGUAAGAAGCCCCGGCUACCUACGUGCCAGCAGCCGCGGUCAUACGUAGGGGGCAAGCGUUAUCCGGAUUUACUGGGUGUAAAGGGAGCGUAGACGGCAGUGCAAGUCUGGAGUGAAAGGCGGGGGCUCAACCCCCGGACUGCUCUGGAAACUGUACGGCUGGAGUGCAGGAGAGGUAAGUGGAAUUCCUAGUGUAGCGAUGAAAUGCGUAGAUAUUAGGAGGAACACCAGUGGCGAAGGCGGCUUACUGGACUGUAACUGACGUUGAGGCUCGAAAGCGUGGGGAGCAAACAGGAUUAGAUACCCCUGUAGUC